rnacentral:tRNA from 1 species
GGUGGCUCAGUGGGAGAGUGCUUGCCUAGCAUGCAUGAAGCCCUGGGUUCGAUUCCUCAGCACCA